AGUGAACGCUGGCGGUAGGCCUAACACAUGCAGGUCGAACGGCAGCACAGUAAGAGCUUGCUCUUACGGGUGGCGAGUGGCGGACGGGGGAGGAAUACAUCGGAAUCUACUUUUUCGUGGGGGAUAACGUAGGGAAACUUACGCUAAUACCGCAUACGACCUACGGGUGAAAGCAGGGGAUCUUCGGACCUUGCGCGAUUGAAUGAGCCGAUGUCGGAUUAGCUAGUUGGCGGGGUAAAGGCCCACCAAGGCGACGAUCCGUAGCUGGUCUGAGAGGAUGAUCAGCCACACUGGAACUGAGACACGGUCCAGACUCCUACGGGAGGCAGCAGUGGGGAAUAUUGGACAAUGGGCGCAAGCCUGAUCCAGCCAUACCGCGUGGGUGAAGAAGGCCUUCGGGUUGUAAAGCCCUUUUGUUGGGAAAGAAAAGCAGCAGGUUAAUACCCCGCUGUUCUGACGGUACCCAAAGAAUAAGCACCGGCUAACUUCGUG
rnacentral:rRNA from 1 species